ensembl:lncRNA
CUGCUGUCCUUCUGACAGUCUGCUGUAUGCUGUUGUCAGAAGAGAUUGUCUGUGUUGAGCAGGGUGCUCAGCGCUCCACGAGUUGCUAAAUAUCUACCGAGUGUCUGUAUGGUGUGUGUGUGUCUGUAUGGAGUGUGUGGUGGUAGGCGAUGACUCCAGUUUAAACGGUGAAUGGGUCUCUCUGGUCUCUUUGAUGAAAGCUUCCUACUCACUCACUCACUCGCUCACACGGUUGAUGACUUUUUGAAGUACAGAGGAGCAUCUCAUCUGAACCUGAUGUCUAUCAUGGAUAUUUAACUGCAGUUCUGUGAGUAUUCCAACUUAACCAUGAAGAUGAACUGCAAACUGUAAGUCAUAAGUUUCUCAUUACUCUUGGGCACAUUGAUGUAUUUUGGAUCCCUGGUGAGUUAACCUGCUACAUGAAGGUUGAUCUGAGUAGUAAGGAUGUUUUAUUGGUUCAUGGGUUACUUAGGUGUUUGGUUUAUGUUCGUAUUAAUGAUUUGUUAAAAUGGUUACAGGCUCCAAGUUAAUGUUGUAAGCUGGAGUAAUGGGUUGGGUUCUGAUAUCAUCAGUCCUCUUUUCAGCUACUCUCCUGAGCUCUGCAUCUUCAUCACAUGAGUGUUGCUUUACUGAUGAGGGUGUGGUCUGAGUGAGCGGAGGUGCAUACUGGGAUACAGAGCUGUCUGAAGUCU